AAAUUGAAGAGUUUGAUCAUGGCUCAGAUUGAACGCUGGCGGCAGGCCUAACACAUGCAAGUCGGACGGUAGCACAGAGGAGCUUGCUCCUUGGGUGACGAGUGGCGGACGGGUGAGUAAUGUCUGGGGAUCUGCCCGAUAGAGGGGGAUAACCACUGGAAACGGUGGCUAAUACCGCAUAACGUCGCAAGACCAAAGAGGGGGACCUUCGGGCCUCUCACUAUCGGAUGAACCCAGAUGGGAUUAGCUAGUAGGCGGGGUAAUGGCCCACCUAGGCGACGAUCCCUAGCUGGUCUGAGAGGAUGACCAGCCACACUGGAACUGAGACACGGUCCAGACUCCUACGGGAGGCAGCAGUGGGGAAUAUUGCACAAUGGGCGCAAGCCUGAUGCAGCCAUGCCGCGUGUAUGAAGAAGGCCUUCGGGUUGUAAAGUACUUUCAGCGGGGAGGAAGGCGAUGCGGUUAAUAACC
rnacentral:rRNA from 1 species